UAGGUGAACCUGCGGAAGGAUCAUUGAAUUAUUAAAACCACCAUGUGAACCUCCAUGUCUCGUGCCUCUGCUGCCAGCGGGGCGCCUAUUUAUAGGCGCAGCUCGCAGCCGGCCUGGCAAUACUGCUAGGUUGGUGGCGCUUUGGCAUGCCCAUACACCAGUCUAACCACUGUCAAAACCAAAAUCUGAAGCUAUGACUGCUAUUAAUUGGCGGUCUUAACCAAAGACAACUCUCAACAACGGAUAUCUUGGCUCUCGCAACGAUGAAGAACGCAGCGAAAUGCGAUACGUAGUGUGAAUUGCAGAAUUCCGUGAACCAUCGAAUCUUUGAACGCAUAUUGCGCUCGAGACCUCGGUCAAGAGCAUGUCUGCCUCAGCGUCGGUUUAUCCCCUCACCCCUCCCACCUUGUGUGGGUCGGUCGGCUUCUAGUUGACCACAGGGGUGGAUCUGGCUUCCUCAAUCCGCUUGUCGGGUUGGGUUGGCUGAAGCACAGAGGCUUAAACAAGGACCCGUAUGGGCUUCAACUGGAUAGGUAGCACCGGCUUAGCCGACUACACGAAGUUGAAGCUUGUGGACUUUGUUAGAGGCCAAGCAGGAAACAUGGCUUUGCCAUGUUUUAAACUUUCGA
rnacentral:rRNA from 1 species